rnacentral:rRNA from 1 species
CACGUAGGGCGCGAGCGUUGUCCGGAAUUAUUGGGCGUAAAGAGCUCGUAGGCGGCCUGUUGCGUCCGCUGUGAAAGCCCGGGGCUUAACCCCGGGUCGGCAGUGGAUACGGGCAGGCUAGAGGUAGGUUGGGGAGAAUGGAAUUCCCGGUGUAGCGGUGAAAUGCGCAGAUAUCGGGAGGAACACCGGUGGCGAAGGCGGUUCUCUGGGCCUUACCUGACGCUGAGGAGCGAAAGCGUGGGGAGCGAACAGG